GGCAGGCGCUGCGUCGUCCGGGGAGCUUUUGGCGGGAGCCAGGCGCGGAUUAAAGGCUACAAACUGUCCCAAGAGAGGAAUGCCCGCCACAUGACCACCAGGAUGUGUGCACUCCUUGAUCUCAGAGAUCUCUGGGCAGGGCCGUCCAAAGGGUGAUGGAUACUGCAGGACCAGCCUGGUGCGAGUCUCCUGACCCCUCCUGAAGCCACAGGUUCUCCCAGAGCGAGAGCAGGGGCUCCAUUCACUCCACUCGCCCACCUCACAGUGCACUGUCAGGAGGCAGUCUAAGGUGCAGCCCCGGUUGAGUUUCAGGCCGAGGUCAUUGUCCUGGACAAGUGAAGAGACAGCAGAGGAUCCAGACAGGUCUGAGUGGGCUGCAGACCUCACCCCUGCAUGACACCCAUCCAUCCACAGUAACAGGAGCACACCACAGAGCCGCCCCACAAAGGCCCGGGCCGGUCAGAGGCAGCACUCACCACAAGAGAAGGUCAGUGUGUGUGUUUGAUGAUGCUCUGGUACACUUAGCCUCUGUCCUAUCAUCAAAGCGCACAGGUGAGGGCAGCAUUGUGAGCACGGGGCUCUCCAGUUACCCUUUCAACUCGCAUGGGGCACAUCAAAGACCGCCUUUUACACUGCACAAAAUACAAGCACAAAUUCAUGAAAAAUGCAACAAUGCUCGGACACACAUGAGAUAAACAGAGUUCAUAGAGCUAUGCCUAGGCAACAAAGGGCCUGUGAGUACUUUGAAUGGCAGGUGAUAUUUUCUAUUGAGCUACAUUAAAGGUGCACUGUGUAACUUCUCUC